rnacentral:lncRNA from 1 species
UUGAAGGCUGCUUGUAGGAAGGCAUACACUACUUAGCUGCAGGAAAGUAGUGUUCAAUCAAGCCAUAUUCUGUUACACAGAGAUUUGUUUCUAUCCUUGGGUAAGGCACGCUGGGGUAGUCCUUCUUGUGUGCAGCAGCAAAACUUCAGGACCCUUCUGGAGAAAAUGUGCAGCCCACAGCUGGAUAAACACAUCAUAUGGUGGGUGAGCAGCUGCUCAUGGGUCAGGCACAAAGGGCAACAGCAAAUGGGGUGACAUCAGACUGGUGUGACCUGUCACUAGUGGGGUUCCAUAGGGCUCCAUCCUUAGCCCUGUGCUCUUCAACAUCUUCAUAAAACAUCUGGACACAGGACUGGAAGGUAUACUAAGCAAGUUCUCAGAUGAUACAGAACUGAGAGAAGCUGUUGACUCCCUUGAAGGCAAGGAGGCCCUGCAGAGAGACCUUCACAAAUCAAGAGCUCCAGCAUGGAAACCUUCAAGGAGAUAGCAGAACUUUCCUUCUGAACUAUGGCAUCUUCAAGAAGGAUUCACACCCUUAUCACUUGCUUCCCGCUCCAGCAGGAUGGAGAUGAGAAUUGGAAGUAAAAAAGGUGAAGAUCACAGGUUGAGAUGUGGACAAAACCAAAUCCAUGAAGCUUGGAUGAUGAUGGACUAUUUACAAAAAUAUUUGAGCUUCAAAAGGCAGAUUUCCCAAACCUCUCUGUGACCGUGCUGCUCCCACUGCUAAGGAAAGUCAGCUGUGCCUGUGGAAGACCACAGCCCAUACUGCAGACAGGCAGAGGGACACGGCAGCAAGACAAGCAUUUUGAAAGAACAGGAAAAUAAACAAGGGGAUAAGCUGUUGCUGAACUGAGUUGCAUGGGGAGAAGAGAACAUUUAGUGUUGUCACAAUUUGAGAAGACUCUUGUCUAUUGUUUGGUUUAUGGAUUUAUGGAUUUCCACCUCCAGCAAAAUUAACAAGAAAACUUUUUUUUUUUUUUUGUGCCAUUGCAAUAUAUGCCUCAACCUGAAGAGCACUUUUGGAAGACUGUGGUCUACCAUGGUAUCAUAUUCACAUUUGGACUUGAAAUGAGCAGGAGUUUCCAUUUUUGCCUGCUCUACAUCAGUCCCUUUGAAAAGUGAUAAGCAGGUCCAAAGUGCUGCAAAACUUCAAAACCAGAACAGAUACUUUGGAAACUGCACUUCUAUAACUACACUUCUGCAUUCUUACAGUGAUAUCAGUACACAGGAAAGGUGGGGAUAAGUUUAGAUUCUCAAAAAUGAGCCUUUGUUUUGUGGCAGCUAUCAAAACAGAAUGUGUGCUUGCUUCUCUAUUGAAAAAGAAUAAAAUACUAGCAUGUUGUCUCUUUCAGCAGUGUAAAAUAUUACAUUUGAAAAUGAAUUUGCUUUUCAUUUUGCUAUGGGAAAGGAAAACACAACAUGCUAAGGAGAAAUGGCUCUCGAUGUUGCAUUUUCUUCUGUAAUCCUUUAGAGUAACAGCCUGUGCAUCAUGGACCAAGCAAAUAAGAUGUCUUUGCCAAGGCAAGCAAAAAUACUUGGAUUGGAGCUCCAAAAAUUGACAAUUUUUUGAACCUGACACUUCUAGGAUUCAUGUCCAGUGGAUUAUUUUUAGAGGGGAUAUGGAAGUACACAUGGAUGAGACUGCUGAUUGCUCUGCAAGGGACCUCACUCGAGACGCACCGCUCCAAGCAAUCGAAACUCUCAAGUGUCAACACUUUCCAAGGUGCCCGGGAUGCUAACCCGGGAGGGUUCCACUCCUCAGUGCUGGUGAAAAUAUGCAAUGGUCUUGGCUGAGCUUUCUCUCCCAGCUCAGGGGCAGCAGGAGUCGCCUAAGGGUUUGAGAUGAAGCCACCAGAGGGAGAUCUAAGGCUGCACACAUUUGAGCUGUGCCAUCUGCUAUCUGCUGAUAACGCCCUCAUCACCAUCUGUGCUGCCAUGUCAAAGCUGAGGCAAACGAAUUAUUGUGGCAAACAACAGCACCAUUAGGCCACCAACACUUGCCAAAGAUGAACAUCACUAGUUUAACGUUGCCUCUGGCAUAGCCAAUGCAUGUAAUCCCAGGGACAAAAAAAAAACAACGAGAAAACCCAAAACCAACACAACCCAAACCAAACAAACCCAAACCAAAUACCACCCAACAAAACAGCCCUCAAACAGAAUUCUUGUUGUUGUUUUUGCAGAUCCAUGCAGCCUGUUGGAGAAGUUUACAAAUGCAGCUCUGUGCUGAGCAUGCAUAAUUUGUUUUAUACCUGUUACUGCCCUACUUGCUUCAAACUGAGAUCCCAGAAAACAUUAAGUUUCUGCAAAUAUUUUGGCAUGGGCCUUUGGAAUAAUUCUAAUGAAGCUCAGCCUUCUGGGUGUUUUUCUUAGAGCGUAUUGCAGGGAAUUCAUGUUUUGAAAAAAUUCCAUGGAACAUUCCAAAGUCAAUUCUACAUUCAAAAUAAUCCUCCAAAAGCAAGAAUACAGACUACAACAAAAACAUUUAGUAAACUUCUCAUAAGAAGCUGAUUCAGACAAACUCUUAGUUAGAUUUUUGUUCUCUAGGGAUAUUCUUUGUCUUUUUAUUCUUUGUAU